UUCCGGUUGAUCCCGCCGGACCUGACUGCUAUCGGAUUGAUACUAAGCCAUGCGAGUCUUUGCAGUAAUGCAAGGCAUACGGCUCAGUAACACGUAGUCAACUUACCCUAUGGACGAGGAUAAUCUCGGGAAACUGAGCAUAAUACUCGAUAGAUCAUAAUGCCUGGAAUGGUUUAUGGUUAAAAUGAUUCGUCGCCGUAGGAUGGGACUGCGACCUAUCAGCUUGUUGGUGGGGUAAAGGCCUACCAAGGCGAUUACAGGUACGGGCUCUGAGAGGAGAAGCCCGGAGAUGGGUACUGAGACACGGACCCAGGCCCUAUGGGGCGCAGCAGGCGAGAAAACUUUGCAAUGUGCGAAAGCACGACAAGGUUAAUCCGAGUGAUUUCUGCUAAAGGAAUCUUUUGCCAGUUCUAAAAAUACUAGUGAAUAAGGGGUGGGCAAGUUCUGGUGUCAGCCGCCGCGGUAAAACCAGCACCUCAAGUGGUCAGGAGGAUUAUUGGGCCUAAAGCAUCCGUAGCCUGCUCUGUAAGUUUUCGGUUAAAUCUAUAUGCUCAACGUAUAGGCCGCCGAAAAUACUGCAGUGCUAGGAAGUGGGAGAGGUAGACGGUACUUGGUAGGAAGGGGUAAAAUCCUUUGAUCUAUUGAUGACCACCUGUGGCGAAGGCGGUCUACCAGAACACGUUCGACGGUGAGGGAUGAAAGCUGGGGGAGCAAACCGGAUUAGAUACCCGGGUAGUCCCAGCUGUAAACGAUGCAGACUCGAUGAUGCAAUGGCAUAGAGCUAUUGCAGUAUCGCAGGGAAGCCGUUAAGUUUGCCGCCUGGGAAGUACGUACGCAAGUAUGAAACUUAAAGGAAUUGGCGGGGGAGCACCACAAGGGGUGAAGCCUGCGGUUCAAUUGGAUUCAACGCCGG
rnacentral:rRNA from 1 species